CUGCCAGUAGUCAUAUGCUCCGUUCAAGGGCUAAGCCAUGCAUGUCUCAGUGUACAUGGAUUGAGAGUGGGUCUGUGAAUGGCUCCUUACAUCAGCAGUCAUCUCUGUGAUAGAGUGUGGAUGAUGCCAGACUUCCCAGGCAUCCAAUGGACAUCCUCCAAAACCUGGUGGCUAAUACACGGAAGCAACAGUCCCCUGUGUCAUAAUGGCCUUUGGAAUGCCCCUCCCUGCUGACAAGGGCCAGCAGUGGAUUGCAGCCAGCCGUCUGGAAGACCAAGCGCCUGGCCAAAGGCAGUAUGCACUGUGGUUGACUCAGGCUGAUCCCCCCUGUGGACACCUGCUCUGGCAGCAUCUUGAAUGUGAGGCAUACCACCUCACUGCUAGCUUGAUCACAAGAACUUCUGACCUAUCAGCCUUGACUGUGGUGUAGUGGACCACAGUGGCUAUAACGGGUAACGGAGAAUCUGGGUUUGAUUCCGGAGAGGGAGCCUGAGAGACGGCUACCACUACCAAGGUGGGCAGCAGGCGCGCAAAUUGCCCAAUACAGACACAUCCUGUGAGGCAGCAACGAACCGCAACAAUCUUGCCAGGCUCUUUCUCAUCAAAGCCAGCGGGAUCUGUAAUGGAUGCUAUCCAAAUCCAGUGAUGAGUACCAACUGGAGGGCAAGUCUGGUGCCAGCAGCUGCGGUAAUUCCAGCUCCAAGGGCGUAUACUAACAUUGCUGCUGUUAAAACACUUGUAGUCUGCCACUGGGCUGCAGGUCUGCUGGGGGCCAGUUGUGCCUGUCCAUGUCCCCCAAAGGGCCAUGCGGGUGCACUGGGCCAAAACCCCUGGCAGUAUGCUCCUGCACCCACAUUACAUCAAGGAUGGUGAGACCUGCUCCUGCAAGGAGUCCUCUUCAGUGGGGUCCCCAAGCAGCAACACACCCAAAGCUUGUCAAGGCUCUCAGGGACACAGUUCACUGUGCAAUACCCCAGUCUGCUACCGGAGUCCACCAUUGAAGUCACCGUGGAAAACUCAGUGUGCUCAAAGCAUCCACAUGGCUGGAUGCCCAUCCAUGGAAUGACAAAGCACCGCCCAGAUGGGCUAUGGAGUUGUGCUGGCCUUGGAGCCCAUUCAGGACAAUCUGAUGCUGUGAGUAUGGUGAUGAUUUGGUCUGGUGUCACAGAGGAACGUGGACCAACCAUUGUAUCCCUUGGCAGUCUUACCUUCACCCAUGCUAUGCAUGCCAUUAACUGGAGAUGAUGGGACCAUUCAAGGUGGAAGAUAUUGCAGCGCCAGAGGUGAAAUUCUUAGACCGCCGCAAGAUUCACAGCGGCGAAGGCGUUCUACAGGGCUGAGUCCGUCGAUCAAGAAUGAGAGCCUGGGGAGCAAAGGUGAUUAGACACCUCCGUAGUCCAGAGCUGUAAACCAUGCCGGCUGGGUGAUGAUGGGUGAUGCAUUGCAGCCCCACCACCACCAAUUGCCAUAUCCCCCUGCAACGAGAAAUCCAAGCCCUUGGGUUCAGGGGGGAGUACUGCUGCAAGGCUGAAACUUAAAGGAAUUGACGGAAUGGCACCACAAGGCGUGGAAUAUGCGGCUUAAUUUGACUCAACACGGGGAAGGUUACCAGGUCAGGACAUGUCAGGGAUGGACAGAUUGAGAGCUCUUUCUUGAUGGCUUGGAUGGUGGUGCAUGGCCGCUCCUGAUUGGUGGAGUGAUUUGUCUGGUUGAUUCCGUUAACGAGUGAGACAUCUACCUCCCACUAGCCCCUGCCUCGUAAUUCAUGUAGAGUGGAUGGUACCCCUGCCAGAGGGGUCAAAUCCUCUGGUGGGCCUUCCAGUGGGUUUCUCCCUAGGGAAUAUGACUCAGUGUGCCAAUAUCCCUCGAGAUGCAGGGUUAACAAGCUUCUCUGAGGUGCUGAGCGUCAUUCCAAACAGCGCUAGCAUGCGAGAUACAACAGCAGGUCUGUGAUGCUCCCAGAUGUCCUGGGCCGCACGCGCAUUACAUUGACACAGCCAGGGUGUUGAUCCAAUAGAGCUACUUAGCUCUGGAUUGCCUUGAAGAGGGUGAGAAACCAUGCCAGUCUGUGUUGUCCUGGGGAUAGAUGAUUGCAACUGUCUGCCUUGAACGAGGAAUGCCUUGUAAGGGUGUGUCAUCAGCGCACCCUGAAUGCGUCCCUGCCAUUUGUACACACCGCCCGUCGUUGCUACCGAUGAUGAUCGGGCAGAGCCAUCCAGAGGUGCCACAUCCUCAAGCCUUGAUGUGAACCAAAAUUGGGCAAUGUCAAGUCAUUAGAGGAAGCAAAAGUC
rnacentral:rRNA from 1 species